rnacentral:rRNA from 1 species
CCUACGGGAGGCAGCAGUGAGGAAUAUUGGUCAAUGGACGAGAGUCUGAACCAGCCAAGUAGCGUGAAGGAUGACUGCCCUAUGGGUUGUAAACUUCUUUUAUAAAGGAAUAAAACGAGGCACGUGUGCCUUUUUGCAUGUACUUUAUGAAUAAGGAUCGGCUAACUCCGUGCCAGCAGCCGCGGUAAUACGGAGGAUCCGAGCGUUAUCCGGAUUUAUUGGGUUUAAAGGGAGCGUAGAUGGGUUGUUAAGUCAGUUGUGAAAGUUUGCGGCUCAACCGUAAAAUUGCAAUUGAUACUGGCAGUCGUGAGUACAGUUGAGGUAGGCGGAAUUCGUGGUGUAGAGGUGAAAUGCUUAGAUAUCACGAAGAACCCCGAUUGCGAAGGCAGCUUACUAAACUGUGACUGACAUUGAUGCUCGAAAGUGUGGGUAUCAAACAGGAUUAGAUACCCCAGUAGUC